rnacentral:rRNA from 1 species
UACGUAGGGUGCGAGCGUGUCCGGAAUUAUUGGGCGUAAAGAGCUCGUAGGCGGUGUGUCGCGUCGGCCGUGAAAACCUGCAGCUUAACUGUGGGCGUGCGGUCGAUACGGGCAUCACUGGAGUUCGGCAGGGGAGACUGGGAAUUCCUGGUGUAGCGGUGAAAUGCGCAGAUAUCAGGAGGAACACCGGUGGCGAAGGCGGGUCUCUGGGCCGAUACUGACGCUGAGGAGCGAAAGCGUGGGGAGCGAACAGG